rnacentral:rRNA from 1 species
UACGUAGGGUGCAAGCGUUAAUCGGAAUUACUGGGCGUAAAGCGUGCGCAGGCGGUUGUGCAAGACCGAUGUGAAAUCCCCGGGCUUAACCUGGGAAUGGCAUUGGUGACUGCACGGCUAGAGUGUGUCAGAGGGGGGGUAGAAUUCCACGUGUAGCAGUGAAAAUGCGUAGAGAUGUGGAGGAACACCGAUGGCGAAAGCGACUCUCUGGACGGCAACUGACGCUGAGGCACGAAAGCGUGGGGAGCAAACAGG